rnacentral:rRNA from 1 species
UACGGGGGGGCAAGCGUUGUUCGGAAUUACUGGGCGUAAAGGGCUCGUAGGUGGCCAACUAAGUCAGACGUGAAAUCCCUCGGCUUAACCGGGGAACUGCCUUUGAUACUGGCGACCUUGAGUUCGGGAGAGGUGAGUGGAACUGCGAGUGUAGAGGUGAAAUUCGUAGAUAUUCGCAAGAACACCAGUGGCGAAGGCGGCUCACUGGCCCGAUACUGACGCUGAGGUGCGAAAGCGUGGGGAGCAAACAGG